UCUUACAUUUACAUUUACUUCUUUCAUACAGUAAUAGGAGCUUACGAACUUUUAUUCAGAUAAGCAACAUUCUGCAGAUUAGUCUCCACAACAUUAAUCUCAUCAGUGAGCUCUUUCCGAAGAGCUGACAUUCCUGCAUGAAUUAUAUAUUUGAAAUUUUCUCUAUCACAAUUGGAAGUAAAUUGUCUCAUGGCCAUCAAGUGCUUACUAAUCGGCCUAUUCUUUUGGAUGAAGUGAAUACCAGUAUCAUUCUCACAUUCAAGGUAUACUGUUUGUCAAAUUUGGUUCAACCAUUUUCAAUUUUUGUCGAGUCAUAAAUGUAGCAUUCACUAAUGAGUAAAAAAAAUUAAAUGUCAUGGUCUAUCAAAGGUUAAAAUAGGUUUAGCUUUUACGUAGCAAUUUAAGGUUUAUUUGAACCAGUGAUUGGCAAUUGUCAUUUUAAAAUUUUAUGUGAACCACUGAUUAGCUUAAGGAUAUGAGGCAACAGUCAAAAUGAAAGCAGCGGAGGCUCGAAAAAGGAGUUGCAACACCAGGCGCAGCACCACAAGUGAUCAAAUCUCUACGAUAUCGAAAUCACGAUCCACUUGUGUCGUUGGAAAGAGGACUUCUACAUUUGCAAUAUAUAAAAAAAUCCAGGAACGUCGAAAUCACGAUCCGCUUGUGCCAUUCGUAAAAAGAAUUAUGGAACUACAAUAUAUAAAUAUUAAGGCAUAUCAAAAUCAUAAUCCGCUUUUGCCGUUUGAAAGAGAAUUCUAGCACUACAAUAUAUGCAAAAAUUAGGCCAGAUCCUUCGUAGAUUUGUCUUAUUUAUUCGGUAAUAUCCAUCUUUCUUCAAAAAAACUGUUUUGUGGUUAUUUUGUAUUUACUGUGAUUGAACUAAUUAAA